rnacentral:rRNA from 1 species
UAAUGACGGUACCGUAAGAAUAGCACCGGCUAACUACGUGCCAGCAGCCGCGGUAAUACGUAGGGUGCAAGCGUUAAUCGGAAUUACUGGGCGUAAAGCGUGCGCAGGCGGUUAUGUAAGACAGUUGUGAAAUCCCCGGGCUCAACCUGGGAACUGCAUCUGUGACUGCAUAGCUAGAGUACGGUAGAGGGGGAUGGAAUUCCGCGUGUAGCAGUGAAAUGCGUAGAUAUGCGGAGGAACACCGAUGGCGAAGGCAAUCCCCUGGACCUGUACUGACGCUCAUGCACGAAAGCGUGGGGAGCAAACAGGAUUAGAUACCCUGGUAGUCCACGCCCUAAACGAUGUCAACUGGUUGUUGGGUCUUCACUGACUCAGUAACGAAGCUAACGCGUGAAGUUGACCGCCUGGGGAGUACGGUCGCAAGAUUAAAACUCAAAGGAAUUGACGGGGACCCGCACAAGCGGUGGAUGAUGUGGAUUAAUUCGAUGCAACGCGAAAAACCUUACCUACCCUUGACAUGGUCGGAACCCUGCUGAAAGGUGGGGGUGCUCGAAAGAGAGCCGUAACACAGGUGCUGCAUGGCUGUCGUCAGCUCGUGUCGUGAGAUGUUGGGUUAAGUCCCGCAACGAGCGCAACCCUUGUCAUUAGUUGCUACGAAAGGGCACUCUAAUGAGACUGCCGGUGACAAACCGGAGGAAGGUGGGGAUGACGUCAAGUCCUCAUGGCCCUUAUGGGUAGGGCUUCACACGUCAUACAAUGGUACAUACAGAGGGCCGCCAACCCGCGAGGGGGAGCUAAUCCCAGAAAGUGUAUCGUAGUCCGGAUUGUAGUCUGCAACUCGACUACAUGAAGUUGGAAUCGCUAGUAAUCGCGGAUCAGCAUGUCGCGGUGAAUACGUUCCCGGGUCUUGUACACACCGCCCGUCACACCAUGGGAGCGGGUUUCACCAGAAGUAGGUAGCUUAACCGCAAGGAGGGCGCU